rnacentral:rRNA from 1 species
CACGUAGGGGGCAAGCGUUGUCCGGAUUUAUUGGGCGUAAAGAGCUCGUAGGCUGCUUAGUAAGUCGGGUGUGAAACCUCCAGGCUCAACCUGGAGACGCCACCCGAUACUGCUGUGGCUAGAGUCCGGUAGGGGAGCGUGGAAUUCCUGGUGUAGCGGUGAAAUGCGCAGAUAUCAGGAGGAACACCAACGGCGAAAGCACUCUGCUGGGCCGACACUGACACUGAGAGACGAAAGCUAGGGGAGCGAAUGGG